AGCGAAGUGUAGUGUUUGGGAGGAUCUAUUAACCCGGCGUCGCGGGGCGAGUCCAAGUCCUUCUUGAACGGGGCCACUUACCCAUAGAGGGUGCCAGGCCCGUAGGACUGCCACCGCACGUUGGAGAGGUCUCUCCCUAGAGUCAGGUUGCUUGAGAGUGCAGCCCUAAGCAGGUGGUAAACUCCAUCUAAGGCAAAAUAACACCACGAGACCGAUAGCAAACAAGUACCGUGAGGGAAAGUUGAAAAGAACUUUGAAGAGAGAGUUCAAAAGUACGUGAAACCGUUCAGGGGUAAACCUGAGAAACCCGAGAGUCUGAAACGGGAGAUUCAUCGCGUCUYURAGCCGUCGACAAACGCAUGGUGACGAGCGGCCCCGGCCAAUCGCACCGCAGCUAGUCGUGCGGCGAAGAAUGUGUGCACUUCUCCCAAAGUAAGAACGUCGUGAGCCGUUGAGCUCUGGUCUACGGCCCGAUGGGGAGCCCCGGAUUGCGUUCGCGCAUUCCAGGACCCGCGGCGCCCGGCCACCGCCCGACGGCAUAACAAAGGCACGGAGCCGCGAACGCACGCGUCCGGCCCGUCACAAGCGCGCUCGGUCACCCGGAAUUCGGACCUAGUGCCGUUUCUGGAGCUGAGCGGCUGCUGGUGGCGGCGCUCUCGGACCGUCUCCGCACAUGCCUCUCCACGACGCUUUAGCUAAGGGUUACUUCUCAGGACCCGUCUUGAAACACGGACCAAGGAGUCUAGCAUGUACGCGAGUCAUUGGGAAUUAUUAAACCCAUUGGCGAAAUGAAUGUGAAGACCGCUUCGCGCGGCUUUUAGGGAGGAUGGGAAUCCGUACGGAGACCCCGCACUCCCGGGGCGUCUCGUUCUCAUUGCGAGUUGAGGCGCACCUAGAGCGUACACGCUGGUACCCGAAAGA
rnacentral:rRNA from 1 species